GCCAGGUAUGGUGGCGCAUGCCUGUAAUCCCAGCUGCUCAGGAGGCUGAGUCAGGAGGAUCACUAGUUCAAAGCCAGCCUCAGCAAAAGCAAGGUGCUAAGCAACUCAGUGAAUCUUUGUCUCCA
rnacentral:sRNA from 1 species